rnacentral:rRNA from 1 species
GACGAACGCUGGCGGCGUGCUUAACACAUGCAAGUCGAACGGAAAGGCCCUGCUUUUGUGGGGUGCUCGAGUGGCGAACGGGUGAGUAACACGUGAGUAACCUGCCCCUGACUUUGGGAUAACUUCAGGAAACUGGGGCUAAUACCGGAUAGGAGCUCCUGCUGCAUGGUGGGGGUUGGAAAGUUUCGGCGGUUGGGGAUGGACUCGCGGCUUAUCAGCUUGUUGGUGGGGUAGUGGCUUACCAAGGCUUUGACGGGUAGCCGGCCUGAGAGGGUGACCGGCCACAUUGGGACUGAGAUACGGCCCAGACUCCUACGGGAGGCAGCAGUGGGGAAUAUUGCACAAUGGGCGGAAGCCUGAUGCAGCAACGCCGCGUGCGGGAUGACGGCCUUCGGGUUGUAAACCGCUUUCGCCUGUGACGAAGCGUGAGUGACGGUAAUGGGUAAAGAAGCGCCGGCUAACUACGUG